AGAUAACCUACUCAACAAGAUGUUUCUUGUAAUGGAUUUUCCUGGCAAAAAAAAUGUAUUAUGGAAAUGUCUCCAAUCCAAGGAAAAGUGGGCCAGAUCAGCAGAAACCAAACCCUUAAUGCAGUGCAGGUGCUGCCAUGGAAAUGGACUGCAGACAGAUCCCCAACAUCAAAAAGCAAGGGACAGACCAUGAAGAAGGUAGCUGUGGGACAGGUGAAUGAAGAAGGCUCAUGUUAUUGCCAAAUGAAUGGGAGGACCAACAUCAACGUUUAAAAAGUGCACUGGAAAAACAGGAUGUGGUUAGAAGACGGCAGCCUAUCCCUAAUGCAACAGAGGGAGGAGACUGGGUACCCCCAGCAGAGGACAAAUGCUUGAAGUGCACCGUGCUCCCCAGGGCAGCAAGAUAAAGUGACCGAGCAGGUAACUGAAAAAUGACUCACAGAAGGAACAAAAUGUGCCAUAAGGAGGCUUCUGGCAAAAGAGAGGAGGAUCUAUCACCCGAGGCCAUGGGAGGCUGCCUGACCUGGAAAGGCUCCAAGACCUGGAAGAAGAGCUUUGAGGCAGCACAGAGAACACAGACCUAGCCCCAGAAAGGAGUCUACUGAGGUGAGGCAGCAAAAUAAAAGCAAGAUUUAUUGGUUUGUCUAGGUCCAUUUAUUAUUCAAGCGACCAUGUAAAGAACAGUUCUCAAUAUUCAUCGAUGUACACUUCUGCAGCCAUAUAAAACAAGUGUGAAAGACUGUAAAAUGAUGCAAAUUGGACUGCAACUUUGUCCAUGUGUUGGUGUCAGCCCUAGAUGGAAGGCACUGGGAAAUCAGGAUCUUCAUGUUUCUAAUGUGCGCUCAUACAGGCAGUUCCUUUUCCCUUUCAGUUCAGCCUUAAAUUCAAACAAUUUUGUCCAUGAGUAAAAGCAUAAUAUCCCACUUAAUAAGGGAAGGCUGCCCCAGACAACAUGUAAUCUAUAAGACUAGAAACAAAAGGUAGAACCACAUUUUGACAGUGCAAACAUAUUUUAAGAACUCCGUAGUUAGUGCUGCUUACUGCUUCACAUACUCAGUUUCCCGGGGUUUUCAUGCAGAUUUUACUGAAGUGGGCACAGCAUCAUAUGGCAGAUGCUACAGUAGUUUUCAGUGAAUAUCUUUCUUUACUAUUUUGGCCUUUUUACUUUAGAAGAGAUGUUUAAAAUAUUUUUACUUCAUGCCAUUUUAAUCAAUACUUUUUCUGCUUGGUAUCCAACU